UCACUGUGAUGAUUGCUUCCAUACCAUUCGCAGUUUCCACCAGAAAGGUUUUACCUUUGUGUUGGCUAAACCUUCCUUGGAUGUCUGAGUGA